GCGAUCGGGGGAGGCGGGAGGCAGGGUUCACUCCCUCUCUAGCCCAGGCGCCGACUGCUCGCCUUCCUGGGCGCACGCUCCUGGCUGCCACCCGCCCGGGUCCGGGGGCGCCGGGGUGCAAGGGGUAACCGGAGAGGCCUCUGCAGUCCGGCUGGGACCCAGUCCCCGAGCCCCCAGCAGCCGGACGAGUCUGGCGCCUGGGCAGGGGUGGCCUGCGUCUUCCGCGGGCAGUCUGGGUUUACUCGGGUGCCCAGUCUCCCCGGACUAGCUCAACGCGGAGUGAACUUCCCGAGACUUGGUCCGAGGGCGCCCAGGCAGCAGCAGGUAGUUCUGGGCCGGCUUCAGGGCGAGGGCGAACGGGGGACGCAGCGUUCCGACGGGCCGGGGGCGCCGAGGGCAUCGGCUUCGUCGUAGCCUCGGGCCACGUGCGCCCGGGCCGCCACCCCACCGCGGCUUCCCACUGCUCUUUUUUCUUGGACGAGGCUUGUGUGAGGAAGGCGCCUUUCUUCCAUUUGGGUCGAAGCCCUUAGCUCCCGGGUUUUGGAGGAUAUAA